rnacentral:rRNA from 1 species
AGUGAACGCUGGCGGUAGGCCUAACACAUGCAAGUCGAACGGCAGCGCAGUAAGAGCUUGCUCUUACGGGUGGCGAGUGGCGGACGGGUGAGGAAUACAUCGGAAUCUACUUUUUCGUGGGGGAUAACGUAGGGAAACUUACGCUAAUACCGCAUACGACCUACGGGUGAAAGCAGGGGAUCUUCGGACCUUGCGCGAUUGAAUGAGCUGAUGUCGGAUUAGCUAGUUGGCGGGGUAAAGGCCCACCAAGGCGACGAUCCGUAGCUGGUCUGAGAGGAUGAUCAGCCACACUGGAACUGAGACACGGUCCAGACUCCUACGGGAGGCAGCAGUGGGGAAUAUUGGACAAUGGGCGCAAGCCUGAUCCAGCCAUACCGCGUGGGUGAAGAAGGCCUUCGGGUUGUAAAGCCCUUUUGUUGGGAAAGAAAAGCAGCAGGUUAAUCCCCCGCUGUUCUGACGGUACCCAAAGAAUAAGCACCGGCUAACUUCGUG